rnacentral:rRNA from 1 species
UACGGAGGAUGCGAGCGUUAUCCGGAUUUAUUGGGUUUAAAGGGUGCGUAGGCGGUCCGUUAAGUCAGCGGUGAAAUGCCCCCGCUCAACGGGGUGAAGUGCCAUUGAUACUGCCUUGCUGGAAUGCGGAUGCCGUGGGAGGAAUGUGUGGUGUAGCGGUGAAAUGCAUAGAUAUCGCGCAGAACUCCGAUUGCGAAGGCAGCGUACCGGCGCCAGACUGACGCUGAGGCACGAAAGCGUGGGGAUCGAACAGG